AUUGAACGCUGGCGGCAGGCCUAACACAUGCAAGUCGAGCGGAUGAAGGGAGCUUGCUCCUGGAUUCAGCUGCGGACGGGUGAGUAAUUCCUAGGAAUCUGCCUGGCAGUGGGGGAUAACGUCCGGAAACGGGCGCUAAUACCGCAUACGUCCUGAGGGAGAAAGUGGGGGAUCUUUGGUCCUCACGCUAUCUGAUGAGCCUAGGUCGUAUUAGCUAGUUGGUGGGGUAACGGCCUACCAAGGCGACGAUCCGUAACUGGUCUGAGAGGAUGAUCAGUCACACUGGAACUGAGACACGGUCCAGACUCCUACGGGAGGCAGCAGUAGGGAAUAUUGGACAAUGGGCGAAAGCCUGAUCCAGCAAUGCCGCGUGAGUGAAGAAGGUCUUCGGAUCGUAAAGCACUGUAAUUUGGGAGGAAGAACAGUAAGUUAAUACCUUGCUGUUUUGACGGUACCUACAGAGAAAGCAACGGCUAACUUCGUG
rnacentral:rRNA from 1 species